GGUGUUUUAUUCUAUUCAGAGGAACUUGUCCCAUUAUCGAUAGUCCUCGUUAUAUCUUACUUGAUCUAUUUAGUAUGUAUACCGCCGUUAUAAGUUUAUUUUUUUAGAAUUUUAUUUACUAAUAAUUUUAUUUUAUAUUAUUUCAGGUCAAGGUGCAGUUUAUGAUUAAGCGGAGAUGAGUUACAUUAUUAUUUAAAUAAAUGGAUUUAUUUUUUAAAAUUUUUAAUGAAAGUGGAUUUGAAGGUAAUUUUAUUAAUUGAUUUAAUUUGAAAUUAGCUCUAAAAUAAGUACACAUCGCCCGUC
rnacentral:rRNA from 1 species